rnacentral:lncRNA from 1 species
UCAGGUGAUCCACUCGCUUCAGCCUCCCAAAGUGCUGGGAUUAUAGGCGUGAGCCACUGUGCCCGGUCUUUUUCUUUAAUGUAGUAUUCACUGGGUUUUUUAAAUUAGUGUCAUAAGUCAGUUAUCCAAGUAGUUUUUCUCCUUUAUUUCAACAUUGACUUCUGACUUUUCCGAAUAUAGGAAUUCCUUCUGUCCUGUUAAGCAGUCCUUCGCUUUCUGCUUUUGGAUACUUAAGUGACCACCUCACUUUUUUGUGAUGCAGCUUGUUCAAUUUUUGGAUAGUUCUCGUGGACACAUGGAAAUGCUGAGUAGAACUAUGAUACAAAUCAGCUCACCAUAAAGUACAAUCUCCAGUGGCCAGAGAGAACUAAAAGGAAACUAAAAACCCGCAUGACACAGUUAACUUUGGGGCUUAAGAUGAGAUAAGGUAUAUACCAUUUAUGUGGUCUGUCAACACACGAAGUUAAAUAUUAACGUCAAGAAUCUCCCUGGACUGGCUUUACUCUCAGGCACCUGGAAGAAGCAAACAAAUACUUUAUGAAGACUGACAGCCUCAGAAUUUAAAUUCUGAGGUUGCAUAAAUUUAACCUUGUCAAAAAUGAGCUCAGAGCCCCCACAUUUCAAAUCAUAAGAGGGAAUGAUUUACCUACAGCUGAAUACCAGGUGACCCGAAAGAUAAAAGGAAGGCUGGGCACGGUGGCUCCCUCACACCUGUAAUACCGGCACUUUGGGAGGCUGAGGCGAGUGGAUCAGUUGAA